rnacentral:rRNA from 1 species
CCUACGGGAGGCAGCAGUGAGGAAUAUUGGUCAAUGGCCGGAAGGCUGAACCAGCCAUGCCGCGUGAAGGUCAGUGCCCUAUGGGCGUUAAACUUCUUUUGUGCGGGAGCAAUAAUGGUCACGUGUGGCCAGACGAGAGUACCGUACGAAUAAGCAUCGGCUAACUCCGUGCCAGCAGCCGCGGUAAUACGGGGGAUGCAAGCGUUAUCCGGAUUUAUUGGGUUUUAAGGGUGCGUAGGCUGUGAGGUAAGUCAGCGGUGAAAUGCCCCCGCUCAACGGGGUGAAGUGCCAUUGAUACUGCCUGGCUGGAAUGCGGAUGCCGUGGGAGGAAUGUGUGGUGUAGCGGUGAAAUGCAUAGAUAUCACACAGAACACCGAUUGCGAAGGCAUCUCACGAAUCCGCGAUUGACGCUGAUGCACGAAAGCGUGGGUAUCAAACAGGAUUAGAUACCCUAGUAGUC